UACGGAGGGGGCUAGCGUUGUUCGGAAUUACUGGGCGUAAAGCGCGCGUAGGCGGACCUGCAAGUCGGGGGUGAAAGCCCGAGGCUCAACCUCGGAACUGCCUUCGAUACUGCGGGUCUCGAGUCCGGGAGAGGUGAGUGGAAUUCCUAGUGUAGAGGUGAAAUUCGUAGAUAUUAGGAAGAACACCAGUGGCGAAGGCGGCUCACUGGCCCGGUACUGACGCUGAGGCGCGAAAGGCGUGGGGGAGCAAACAGG
rnacentral:rRNA from 1 species